rnacentral:tRNA from 1 species
GGGCUAUUAGCUCAGUGGAUAGAGCACCAACCUCCGGAGUUGGGUGUCGCAGGUUCAAUUCCUGCAUAGCCCACUA